AGUGAACGCUGGCGGUAGGCCUAACACAUGCAAGUCGAACGGCAGCACAGUAAGAGCUUGCUCUUACGGGUGGCGAGUGGCGGACGGGUGAGGAAUACAUCGGAAUCUACUUUUUCGUGGGGGAUAACGUAGGGAAACUUACGCUAAUACCGCAUACGACCUACGGGUGAAAGCAGGGGAUCUUCGGACCUUGCGCGAUUGUAUGAGCCGAUGUCGGAUUAGCUAGUUGGCGGGGUAAAGGCCCACCAAGGCGACGCUCCGUAGCUGAUCUGAGAGGAUGAGCGGCCACACUGGGAAUGAGACACGGUCCCGGAUCCUAAGGGAGGCAGCAGUGGGGAAUAUUCGGCAAAGGGCGAAAGCCUGACGCCGCAAAGCCGCGGGAGGGAUAAAGGGCCUCGGAGUGUAAAACUCUUUUUUUAGGGAAGAAAAAAUGGGUAAGUAAAACCCCCCUUUUUGACGGUACCCAAAAAGAAAGCCACGGCUAACUACGUG
rnacentral:rRNA from 1 species